rnacentral:rRNA from 1 species
UACGUAGGGUGCGAGCGUUAAUCGGAAUUACUGGGCGUAAAGCGUGCGCAGGCGGCUUUGCAAGACAGAUGUGAAAUCCCCGGGCUCAACCUGGGAAUUGCAUUUGAAACUGGGGAACUAGAGUGUGUGAGAGGGGGGUAGAAUUCCAAGUGUAGCGGUGAAAUGCGUAGAUAUGCGGAGGAACACCAAUGGCGAAGGCAAUCCCCUGGGCCUGUACUGACGCUCAUGCACGAAAGCGUGGGGAGCAAACAGG